rnacentral:tRNA from 1 species
GGAGGGGUGGCCGAGCGGACGAAGGCGGGGGACUCGAAAUCCCUUGAGCGGGUGCACGCCCGCUCCGCGGGUUCGAAUCCCGCCCCCUCCGCCA